GACCGCUCCGGUGGCCUAGUGGUUAGAGCAUCCGCCUUGGAUGCGGGAGGUUGCUGGUUCGAACCCCACUCGAGUCA